AGAGUUUGAUCCUGGCUCAGAUUGAACGCUGGCGGCAUGCCUUACACAUGCAAGUCGAACGGCAGCACGGGUGCUUGCACCUGGUGGCGAGUGGCGAACGGGUGAGUAAUACAUCGGAACAUGUCCAGUAGUGGGGGAUAGCCCGGCGAAAGCCGGAUUAAUACCGCAUACGAUCUGUGGAUGAAAGCGGGGGACCUUCGGGCCUCGCGCUAUUGGGGUGGCCGAUGGCGGAUUAGCUAGUUGGUGGGGUAAAGGCCCACCAAGGCGACGAUCCGUAGCUGGUCUGAGAGGACGACCAGCCACACUGGGACUGAGACACGGCCCAGACUCCUACGGGAGGCAGCAGUGGGGAAUUUUGGACAAUGGGGGAAACCCUGAUCCAGCAAUGCCGCGUGUGUGAAGAAGGCCUUCGGGUUGUAAAGCACUUUUGUCCGGAAAGAAAUCCUUCGAGAUAAUACCUUGAGGGGAUGACGGUACCGGAAGAAUAAGCACCGGCUAACUACGUGCCAGCAGCCGCGGUAAUACGUAGGGUGCGAGCGUUAAUCGGAAUUACUGGGCGUAAAGCGUGCGCAGGCGGUGAUGUAAGACCGAUGUGAAAUCCCCGGGGCUUAACCUGGGAACUGCAUUGGUGACUGCAUCGCUGGAGUAUGGCAGAGGGGGGUAGAAUUCCCGUGUAGCAGUGAAAUGCGUAGAGAUGUGGAGGAAUACCGAUGGCGAAGGCAGCCCCCUGGGCCAAUACUGACGCUCAUGCACGAAAGCGUGGGGAGCAAACAGGAUUAGAUACCCCAGUAGUCC
rnacentral:rRNA from 1 species